rnacentral:rRNA from 1 species
UGCUAUACAUGCAAGUCGAGCGGACCGACGGGAGCUUGCUCCCUUAGGUCAGCGGCGGACGGGUGAGUAACACGUGGGUAACCUGCCUGUAAGACUGGGAUAACUCCGGGAAACCGGGGCUAAUACCGGAUGCUUGAUUGAACCGCAUGGUUCAAUCAUAAAAGGUGGCUUUUAGCUACCACUUGCAGAUGGACCCGCGGCGCAUUAGCUAGUUGGUGAGGUAACGGCUCACCAAGGCGACGAUGCGUAGCCGACCUGAGAGGGUGAUCGGCCACACUGGGACUGAGACACGGCCCAGACUCCUACGGGAGGCAGCAGUAGGGAAUCUUCCGCAAUGGACGAAAGUCUGACGGAGCAACGCCGCGUGAGUGAUGAAGGUUUUCGGAUCGUAAAACUCUGUUGUUAGGGAAGAACAAGUACCGUUCGAAUAGGGCGGCACCUUGACGGUACCUAACCAGAAAGCCACGGCUAACUACGUGCCAGCAGCCGCGGUAAUACGUAGGUGGCAAGCGUUGUCCGGAAUUAUUGGGCGUAAAGCGCGCGCAGGCGGUUUCUUAAGUCUGGAUGUGAAAGCCCCCGGCUCAACCGGGGAGGGUCAUUGGAAACUGGGGAACUUGAGUGCAGAAGAGGAGAGUGGAAUUCCACGUGUAGCGGUGAAAUGCGUAGAGAUGUGGAGGA